AUGAAACGGAGGAAGAAGGGGAAGAACUUUGCAUGUGCGGUUAAAUUGGACAUGAUGAAAGCUUAUGAUAGGGUGGAAUGGAGCUACCUCGAAGCAAUCCUCCUUAAAUUUGGCUUUGGCAUCAACUUAGUGAGAUUGAUCAUGAAGUGUGUCACUUUAGUUCGUUUCUCGGUACGGGUAAAUGGUGAACAACUACCCUACUUCACGCCCACGUGUGGAUUAAGGCAAGGUGAUCCCAUGUCACCCUACCUGUUUUUGCUAUGUGCAGAAGGUUUUUCUUCACUGUUGAAAUAUUAUGGGCAAAUUGAUAGAUGCAUUCGAGUCAGUUUCAGAGCUCCAUGGGUGAAUCAUCUGUUGUUCACGGAUGAUAGCCUUAUUUUUAUGACAGCUGACAGUCAAUGUGCAGGAAGAUUAAACCGCAUUCUGCAAUUAUAUGGAGCUGCGUCGGGCCAGUGUGUUAACCGGGAGAAGAGCGCAAUUUAUUUCAGUCCCAAUACGCCGGUUGCUACUAGGCAGACUAUCAAGACUACGCUCGAUGUGCACGUCGAGGCGUUUAGUGAACGUUACCUUGGUCUACCCACAACUGUGGGGAAGAUUACCAGCGGCACUUUCGAUCACAUAGGUGAACGUUCACGAAGCAAGAUGCAAGGGUGGUCGGAGAGAUUGUUUGCUUGUGCAGGGCGAGAAACUUUGAUCAAAUCAAUUGCCCAGGCAAUUCCCACUUUCAGCAUGAGUUGUUUUCUUCUGACCAAGAAGGUGUGCAAGAGCUUGACAUCCAAUAUGGCAAAAUACUGGUGGAGUAGUUCAAUCGAUAAGCGUUCUCUGCACUGGAUUUCGUGGAAGAAACUUGCAACGCCUAAGUUUAGUGGCGGUAUGGGCUUUCGAGACCUAUAUCUUUUCAACUUGGCCCUUCUCGGUAAGCAGGGAUGGCGGCUGUUGACAAGCCCGGAUUCGCUGUGUGCUCGAGUUUUAAAGGGCAGGUAUUUCCCGGACUCUGAUUUCAUGCAGGCAUCAGCUCCAAAACGAUCUUCUGCAACUUGGAGGGUCAUUAUAUCUGGACAGGAGGCACUACUCACCGGACUAAUCGAGAGGGUGGGCGACGGAUCAUCCAUUGCGGUCUGGGACGACCGAUGGAUUCCAUCUACAACAACCAUGGCGCCUUUGUUCAGGCCCCCAAAUACCAAUAUUUUUUGGGUAAGCGAUCUUAUUGAUACCGGAAACUGGACAUGGCGGCGGCAGUUGGUUCAUGACACAUUCAUCUCACCAGACGCGGAGGCCAUCCUCAAUAUCCCACUCCGGUCUGGUGGGGGUGAUGAUUUCCUUGCUUGGACACAUGAAACUUCAGGUAAAUACACUGUUAAAUCGUCAUACCGUGCUCUUAUGAUUCGCAACGAGCAUCAAGCUCUAGAAGAAGGGACGGAUACUGGAUCCUCGAUUGAUAAUCAGCGGUUGUGGAAUGGUUUGUGGAAGCUAAAUGUGAUGCCAAAAGUGAAGGUGUUCUUCUGGCGGAUGCUAAGGGGAAUUCUGCCAGAUGAGUGUACCCUUAAGCAUCGGCAUUUGAGACAGAUAGGGCUUUGCAAAAUCUGCAUGGCGAUGGAUGAGGACAUGGAGCAUGCUCUGUUAAUAUGCUCACACGCACACCAGUUCUGGGAUGAAGCGCAACAGCUUUUUGACUUCCAUAUGCCGCGACUACACCCAGAUACUUGGGCGAGAGACGUAAUCUGUGAUGAUAGAUUUACGAGUAGAGACUGA
rnacentral:rRNA from 1 species